GCCUUAUAACAAAUUAAAACCCGAAAACAUAAAGGAAAUAAUCUAGAAUAAAAGUGAAGGCAUAAACACUUAUUUUAAACAGUCCACAUGGCCACUCUGAAUCCCUCCAGCUCUAAGUCCACCGAUCUAAGGCUCACCUACAAAGAUGGGAAAAAGGGGGUGAGUUUGGAAAACUCAGUGUGUAAAGUAUCCCAACCAGAGCCCAAAUCAGUUCAAGCUUUAUUGGGUCUAAGCCCUAUUCAGAAAUCAGAGUUAACUGGGCCUUAGCCCAUAUCAAUAUUAAUCUGGCCCACGCCAUCCACAGCAAAGCUGCUUGUAUAAGAAUAUGCGGCACAGCCACCAGAACGGGCUCUUCCUCCAUAACAAAACCCAACCCCAUGCAGUAUGACAUGUAUGCAGAAUAUAUAUAUUUAACAAGGGAUGCUUUAGAAAGACAGUCAAAUUAUAGUGUAAGAACAGUUAUUUACCCCCGAGGGGCGUAAUCGUAAACUUAGCCCUUCAGGGGUAUUACUGUAAUUCUACCUUACAGAGGUAUUUUAGUAAUUUUAUCAGUAUUUUUAAGGUUUUAUGCUCAUUAUAGUUAUUAACAUAUUAACAGAAACACUUACCG
rnacentral:lncRNA from 1 species